rnacentral:rRNA from 1 species
AGAGUUUGAUCCUGGCUCAGGACGAACGCUGGCGGCGUGCUUAACACAUGCAAGUCAAGGGGGCCCAGCAAUGGGCAACCGGCGAACGGGUGCGUAACACGUGAGCAACCUACCGAACUGUGGGGGAUAGCCGGCCUAACGGCCGAGUAAUACCGCAUACGCUUUCAGUGAGGCAUUUCAUUGAAAGGAAACCUACGGGACAGAUCGAGGGGCUCGCGGCCUAUCAGCUAGUUGGCGAGGUAACGGCUCACCAAGGCGACGACGGGUAGCUGGUCUGAGAGGAUGGCCAGCCACAUUGGGACUGAGAUACGGCCCAGACUCCUACGGGAGGCAGCAGUGGGGAAUCUUGCGCAAUGGCCUAACGGCUGACGCAGCGACGCCGCGUGUGGGAUGAAGCUCUUCGGAGUGUAAACCACUGUUGCCCGGGACGAAUAGCUCGAUUAAUCGAGCCUGACGGUACCGGGUGAGGAAGCACCGGCUAACUCCGUGCCAGCAGCCGCGGUAAUACGGGGGGUGCGAGCGUUGUCCGGAAUCACUGGGCGUAAAGGGC